rnacentral:misc_RNA from 1 species
CUGUGAGAUUGUAUAUGCAUAUAGUGUUAAUUAUAUUAAUAUUUAAGCAUCGAUUCGCAAAUUAUUUAAUGCUAAAUUAGCUUUAUCAAUAAAUAAAAAUGUUAUUCUAUCGUUUUAUGUCACGAUUUGACCGUAAGAUCAAUAAAUUGAUAUUAUUUUUGUUUAAGAAUAAUAUAACUAGCAUUAAUCGCGUAUUAUAAUACAAACUUAUAAAGUUUGUAUUGCU